GGGGGGGGUUGAUGUGAGUGUGAAUAUUGAGGAAUGUGUUAUUGAUGUAAAUGUUGGGGGUGGGGAAGUUCCUACUGUUGAUGAAACUGAACAACAGAAUCUGCCACAAGAUGAAGAUGAGGAAUUGGUUAAGUGUGAGUGGAUGUUAGGGGAUGAUGAAGAGUUGCAAGAAGCAAGAAAUGUUGUGAGAAGGUUUAAAGAAAAUAAAAAGAAGUCAACAACAAAGAAAUGGGUACAACUAACUCCUCAACCCUCAAAUGCUACUACCAUACCUAAUGGAGAACCUGAUGCAAACUGUGAAGAUGGAAAUCUAACUGACUAUGCAGAUUCUGAUGGAGAUCUCAGUGUAGAAAGUACUGAUGGAAGUGAUGGAGAGCAUGAUAUUAGGAGAAGAAAAGAUAAAUUCAAAGCCUUUAAUCCUAAUGCUGAAAAGAUUACAUUUGCUUUAGGUAUGACAUUUAAGAAUGAUGUAGAGUUUAAAGAGGCUGUUAGUACAUUUGCAAUACAAGAGAGAAGGGAGGUUAAGUUUGUUAGAAAUACUAGCAUACAAUUUAGGGCAAAGUGUGUGAAAAAAGAGUGCCCUUAGAUGAUUUAUGCAUCCAUGGAAGAUUCUAGGAAUGAUAUAGUUGCGAAAACUUUUAGAAAUGAGCAUACAUGCUCCAUAUCAUUGGAAAACAGAAGGUGUAGUUCCAAAUGGAUGGCAAUGCAUGUUUUGCCAAAGAUUGUUGUAUGUGAGACAAUGACCCUUAUUGAUCUUAAGAAACAUGUUAAGAAUGAUGUUAGUUUAGAAGUAAGUAUUACUAAGUUGAGGAGAGCAAAAAUGCGGUUUUUGCCUAGGUUAAAUGAAGAUGCAAAGGGUGAGUAUGUUAAGCUUUGGGAUUAUUUGGGUGAAAUCACAAGAUCAAAUCCUGGAAGUAGCAACAACUUAUGAGUUCAAAGACCCAUUCCUAUCGGUAUUCCUAUGUUUGACAGAAUGUAUAUCUACUUUGACUCACCGAAGAAAGGGUUUCUAUUUGGGUGUAGGAGGGCAGUCGGGCUAGAUGGGUGUUUUCUUAAAGGUGUAAUUAAGGGGAAAUUGCUAAUUGUAAUGGGUAGGGAUGACAAUAAUCAGAUGUAUCCCAUUGCAUGGGCUGUUGUAAAUAUUGAAUGCAAGUCAACAAGGCAUUGGUUCAUUGAUCAGUUGAAGAUUGACUUGAGUAUCACUGAUGGUGAAGGGUGGACAUUCAUUUUUGACCAGCUAAAGGGAUUACUUAAUGCAAUCUAUGAGAAACUGCCCCUAUGUGAGAAAACUAUUGUGCAAGACACAUUUAUGCCAAUUGGAGAAAAAAACACAAAGGCAGUGAACUACAUCAGUAGUUUUGGGCUUGUGUUAAGUCAUAUAACAUCCCUGACUUUGAAGCCAAUAUGAAUGAGCUCAAAAAGAUGUCCAAACAAAGAUUUGAUGAUAUCCUCAACACUCAUCCAAGUCAUGAGUGCAGAGCCUACUUCACCACAGAGGUAAAGUAUGAUAUUGUGGACUAUAAUUUAUGUGAAGCUUUCAACAGUAGGAUUAUAGAACCAAGAAUUAAGAAUAUAAUAUCUAUGUUAGAGGAUAUUAAGAGGCUUGUCAUGACUAGAUUGCACAUAAAUAGGGAUCAAAUUGAAAAGUGGUUAGGUGAUUAUGGAAAUUGAAUGAGGAGAAGAGUACAUACUAAUCUUGAAAUCAAUUGAUAUUGCCAAAUGACAUGGAAUGGGGCAGAUGGGGUUGAGGUGCUUCAUGAUGGGGACACUUAUGUAAUAGAUUUGAAAAAUCACACAUGUCCAUAUAUGUUUGGGAGGUGUCUGGUAUACCUUGUUGUCAUGCAAUCUAUGGUAUCAAUGAACUUGAGAGGAAUCCUUAUGAUUAUAUAAGUGACUAGUUUAGAAAACUUAAGUAUUUAAAGACAUACACACACAUGCUUAGCCCAAUGAACAGUAGCAAGUUUUAGAGAAAAUCAGGAAAGGAAGGCCUUGUACCCCCAAGAAUGAUAGGACACUAGGUAGACCAAAGAAGAAUAGACUGAGAGAAGAGGGUGAGCUAAAAGGUGGGAGCAUAAAAUUUGAGUAAGAAGGAUAAGCUCAUGACUUGUCAGGCCUAUUUUCAAAAGGGACACAACAAGAAAAAUUGCAAGUUUAUUCAGAGGAACAAUGCAAGUGAACCAGUUGAAGGUGGAGAUAUGAUGUUCAUAUCUGUGUCAACUGUAAAUGGUGCUGUUAAUACUAAAACGCCACUGCAGACCAUGUCUACCCUUUGUCAUGACAUUGGAGCAGCAGAGGUGCAUCAGAGGCCCUCUAAGAAUUAAGUAAUUCUUCAAACCCUUUAAUACACAACCGAAAUUUUUUUUUCUAAUGACACAUACUGUUAAUAGGUGAGGAGAGGGAAAAAGUCAUCAACUCAGAACAAAGGGAAAAGUGCAGGAAAUGAGAGACAAAGGAAAAAUUCAGUAACUCAGAGCAAAGAGAAAAAUGCAGAAGGGAGAAGUCAGCAGCUCAGAACCAAGUUGAAAAGCCAACCUUGUUCUUCAAUCAGCAGGCAUACUUUGUAUUAAGGGGAGACAAAACUAGUCAAAAAGUGCAUGGAUAUGGAGCAUAUACUGAUGCAAGGGGCAAUGUCACUAUGAAUGUAUUUACAACCUGGAACAAUAGUUAAGAUGCCAUUAAAUUCAAUAGGAAGAAUAAGGGAAAGAAACCCUCCUGAACCUAGCUUCAUGUCUCAAAAGAUUGAGGGAUUCAAAAAACGUGGCUACCACUUCAUUACAUGUAGCCAAUUGCAGAAUAAGGCGCAAAAGCAAAGGAUGGAAGCAACUGCAAGGUCUGCACCAAUUGCUGUUACUAUAAUAAAGAAGGGAAAAUUUGGUGCUGAAACUGCUAGAGUGGACACAAAUGAUGAUGCAACUUUGGGGACACAGGAAUCAACAGCAAAGUAGUGACCUAAGAUGCUAAAUUGCCUAUUUUUGUUCCAACAAACUAUUUUGGAUACCAUAAUUAUUGACUUUGUAAUAUUAACAAGUGGUAUUAUUUUGGAUAACACAGAUACAUAUUAGUAUAGGUGUAUGAAUUUUAUCUUUGUAUUUUUUGGAUGUCAUUGAAGUGUUCAUAGCUUCAGGAUUAAUGAUGCUAUUACUUAUAUCAAUUUCCAGAUAGCAAAUCACUUUAUGUUCAAUCAA